rnacentral:rRNA from 1 species
GGGGGAUAUUGCACAAUGGGCGCAAGCCUGAUGCAGCGACGCCGCGUGAGGGAUGACGGCUUUCGGGUUGUAAAACUCUUUCGCUACCGAACAAGGCUUUAUAUUUGUGGGGUUGAGGGUAGGUGGAUAAGAAGCGCCGGCUAACUACGUGCCAGUAGCCGCGGUAAUACGUAGGGCGCGAGCGUUGUCCGGAAUUAUUGGGCGUAAAGAGCUCGUAGGCGGCUUGUCGCGUCUGCUGUGAAAACGCGGGGCUUAACUCCGCGCGUGCAGUGGGUACGGGCAGGCUAGAGUGUGGUAGGGGUGACUGGAAUUCCUGGUGUAGCGGUGGAAUGCGCAGAUAUCAGGAGGAACACCGAUGGCGAAGGCAGGUCACUGGGCCAUUACUGACGCUGAGGAGCGAAAGCAUGGGGAGCGAAC